UACGGGGGGGGGGCAAGCGUUUGUUCGGAAUUACUGGGCGUAAAGGGCUCGUAGGUGGCCAACUAAGUCAAACGUGAAAUCUCCGGGCUCAACCCGGAAACUGCCAUUGAUACUAUCUGUCUUGAAUAUCGUGGAGGUAAGCGGAAUAUGUCAUGUAGCGGUGAAAUGCUUAGAUAUGACAUAGAACACCAAUUGCGAAGGCAGCUUACUACCCGAAUAUUGACACUGAGGCACGAAAGCGUGGGGAUCAAACAGG
rnacentral:rRNA from 1 species